ACCGCUGACGACCGGCGCACGGGUGAGUAACACGUAUCCAACCUACCAUCCUUCGAGGGAUAGCCUUUCGAAAGAAAGAUUAAUACCCGAUCUUAUAGCGAUAAGGCAUCUUAUUGCUAUUAAAGAAUUUCGGUGUUUGAUGGGGAUGCGUUCCAUUAGAUUGUUGGUGAGGUAACGGCUCACCAAGUCUUCGAUGGAUAGGGGUUCUGAGAGGAAGGUCCCCCACAUUGGAACUGAGACACGGUCCAAACUCCUACGGGAGGCAGCAGUGAGGAAUAUUGGUCAAUGGACGAGAGUCUGAACCAGCCAAGUAGCGUGAAGGAUGAAGGCCCUAUGGGUCGUAAACUUCUUUUAUAGGGGAAUAAAGUGCGGAACGUGUUCCGUUUUGUAUGUACCCUACGAAUAAGGAUCGGCUAACUCCGUGCCAGCAGCCGCGGUAAUACGGAGGAUCCGAGCGUUAUCCGGAUUUAUUGGGUUUAAAGGGAGCGUAGGUGGACGUAUAAGUCAGUUGUGAAAGUUUGCGGCUCAACCGUAAAAUUGCAGUUGAUACUGUAUGUCUUGAGUGUACAAGAGGUGGGCGGAAUUCGUGGUGUAGCGGUGAAAUGCUUAGAUAUCACGAAGAACUCCGAUUG
rnacentral:rRNA from 1 species